AGAGUUUGAUCCUGGCUCAGGAUGAACGCUGGCGGCGUGCUUAACACAUGCAAGUCGAGCGAUGAAGUUUCCUUCGGGAAAUGGAUUAGCGGCGGACGGGUGAGUAACACGUGGGUAACCUGCCUCAUAGAGUGGAAUAGCCUUCCGAAAGGGAGAUUAAUACCGCAUAACAUCAUUAGAUGGCAUCAUUUAGUGAUCAAAGGAUUUAUUUGCUAUGAGAUGGACCCGCGGCGCAUUAGCUAGUUGGUGGGGUAACGGCCUACCAAGGCGACGAUGCGUAGCCGACCUGAGAGGGUGAUCGGCCACAUUGGGACUGAGACACGGCCCAUACUCCUACGGGAGGCAGCAGUGGGGAAUCUUCCGCAAUGGACGAAAGUCUGACGGAGCAACGCCGCGUGAGUGAUGAAGGUUUUCGGAUCGUAAAGCUCUGUCUUUGGGGAAGAUAAUGACGGUACCCAAGGAGGAAGCCACGGCUAACUACGUGCCAGCAGCCGCGGUAAUACGUAGGUGGCAAGCGUUGUCCGGAAUUAUUGGGCGUAAAGCGCGCGCAGGCGGCAGCAAGGGUCUGUGGUGAAAGACUGAAGCUUAACUUCAGUAAGCCAUAGAAACCGGGCAGCUAGAGUGCAGGAGAGGAUCGUGGAAUUCCAUGUGUAGCGGUGAAAUGCGUAGAUAUAUGGAAGAACACCAGUGGCGAAGGCGGCUGUCUGGUCUGUAACUGACGCUGAGGCUCGAAAGCGUGGGGAGCAAAUAGGAUUAGAUACCCUAGUAGUCCACGCCGUAAACGAUGAGUACUAAGUGUUGGAGGGUUUCCGCCUUCCGUGUCGGAGCUAACGCAUUAAGCAUUCCGCCUGGGGAGUACGACCGCAAGGUUGAAACUCAAAGGAAUUGACGGGGGCCCGCACAAGCGGUGGAGCAUGUGGUUUAAUUCGAAGCAACGCGAAGAACCUUACCUACACUUGACAUCCCUUGCAUUACUCUUAAUCGAGGAAAUCCCUUCGGGGACAAGGUGACAGGUGGUGCAUGGUUGUCGUCAGCUCGUGCCGUGAGAUGUUGGGUUAAGUCCCGCAACGAGCGCAACCCCUAUUGUUAGUUGCUACCAUUAAGUUGAGCACUCUAGCGAGACUGCCUGGGUUAACCAGGAGGAAGGUGGGGAUGACGUCAAAUCAUCAUGCCCCUUAUGUGUAGGGCUACACACGUGCUACAAUGGCAAGUACAGAGAGACGCAAAACCGUGAGGUCGAGCAAAUCCCUUAAAACUUGUCCCAGUUCGGAUUGUAGGCUGAAACUCGCCUACAUGAAGCCGGAGUUGCUAGUAAUCGCGAAUCAGAAUGUCGCGGUGAAUACGUUCCCGGGUCUUGUACACACCGCCCGUCA
rnacentral:rRNA from 1 species